rnacentral:lncRNA from 1 species
AUGCUCAAAAUUCUCCAAGCCAGGCUUCAGCAAUAUGUGAACCAUGAACUCCCUAAUGUUCAAGCUGGUUUUAGAAAAGGCAGAGGAACCAGAGAUCAAAUUGCCAACAUCCACUGGAUCAUGGAAAAAGCAAGGGAGUUCCAGAAAAACAUCUACUUUUGCUUUAUUGACUAUGCCAAAACCUUUGACUGUGGGGAUCACAAUAAAUUGUGGAAAAUUCUGAAAGAGAUGGGAAUACCAGACCAUCUGACCUGCCCCUUGAGAAAUCUGUAUGCAGGUCAGGAAGCAACAGUUAGAACUGGACAUGGAAAAACAGACUGGUUCCAAAUAGGAAAAGGAGUACAUCAAGGCUGUAUAUUGUCACCCUGUUUAUUUAACUUCUAUGCAGAGUACAUCAUGAGAAACGCUGGGCUGGAAGAAGCACAAGCUGGAAUCAAGACUGCCCAGAGAAAUAUCAAUAACCUCAGAUAUGCAGAUGACACCACCCUUAUGGCAGAAACUGAAGAGGAACUAAAAAGCCUCUUGAUGAAAGUGAAAGAGGAGAGUGAAAAAGUUGGCCUAAAGCUCAACAUUCAGAAAAUGAAGAUCAUGGCAUCCGGUCCCAUCACUUCAUGGGAAAUAGAUGGGGAAACAGUGGAAACAGUGUCAGACUUUAUUUUGGGGGGCUCCAAAAUCACUGCAGAUGGUGAUUGCAGCCAUGAAAUUGAAAGAUGCUUACUCCUUGGAAGAAAAGUUAUGACCAACCUAGACAGCAUAUUCAAAAGCAGAGACAUUACUUUGCCAACUAAGGUCCGUCUAGUCAAGGCUAUGGUUUUUCCUGUGGUCACGUAUGGAUGUGAGAGUUGGACUGUGAAGAAGGCUGAAUGCCGAAGAAUUGAUGCUUUUGAACUGUGGUGUUGGAGAAGAUUCUUGAGAGUCCCUUGGACUGCAAGGAGAUCCAACCAGUCCAUUCUGAAGGAGACCAACCCUGAGAUUUCUUUGGAAGGAAUGAUGCUAAAGCUGAAACUCCAAUACUUUGGCCACCUCAUGAGAAGAGUUGACUCAUUGGCAAAGACUCUGAUGCUGGGAGGGAUUGGGGGCAGGAGGAGGAGGGAUCGACCGAGGAUGAGAUGGCUGGAUGGUAUCACUGACUCAGUGGACGUGAGUCUGAGUGAACUCCGGGAGUUGGUGAUGGACAGGGAGGCCUGGCGUGCUGCGAUUCAUGGGGUCGCAAAAAGUCGGACACGACUGAGCGACUGA